GGACUACUGGGGUAUCUAAUCCUGUUUGAUCCCCACGCUUUCGUGCCUCAGUGUCAAUCAUAGUGUAGAAAGCUGCCUUCGCAAUCGAUGUUCUAUGUCAUAUCUAAGCAUUUCACCGCUACAUGACAUAUUCCGCUUCCCUCCCCUAUAUUCAAGACAGAUAGUAUCAACGGCAGUUUCCGGGUUAAGCCCAGAGAUUUCACCACUGACUUACCUGCCCACCUACGCACCCUUUAAACCCAGUGAAUCCGGAUAACGCUCGCACCCUCCGUAUUACCGCGGCUGCUGGCAC
rnacentral:rRNA from 1 species